GAUGAAUUACCCUGCCAUUCCAGCUCAGCGCUUUAUUGACCUGGACGCCAUCACAAGCCAAUGUGAGAUCCUGUGUGCUGGAAAUCCUAAUGUGUUAUUGAAAUACUAGCUCAGGAUACUCUGAGUCAGCUAAGGCCAAUAGUAUUGGAACGAAUAUGCUCUGUACUUGGAGCCUACCUUAAUUCACCC